rnacentral:rRNA from 1 species
CGCGUAGGCGGUUUUUUAAGUCAGAUGUGAAAUCCCGAGGCUUAACCCCGGAAGUGCAUUUGAAACUGAAAGACUUGAGUAUGGGAGAGGGAAGUGGAAUUCCUGGUGUAGAGGUGAAAUUCGUAGAUAUCAGGAGGAACACCGGUGGCGAAGGCGACUUCCUGGACCAAUACUGACGCUGAGGCGCGAAGGCGUGGGGAGCAAACAGGAUUAGAUACCCUGGUAGUCC